CGCCGCCGCCUGGCCCGAGGGGGUGGGGGACGGGCGAGCCCCGAUGCCGGGGGAGACGGAAGAGCCGAGACCCCCGGAGCAGCAGCAGGACCCGGAAGGGGCGCAGGCGGCGGCACAGGCGGCCCCGGGGCACGCCAAGCCACGGCCCCCUGAGGCGGCGGCGGCGGGAGGGACGCCCGCGGGGACCACGAGCAGCCGCGUGCUGAGGGGAGGUCGGGACCGAGGCCGGGCCGCCGCCGCGGCCGCUGCUGCUGCUGCCGCCGCGGCCGCCGUGUCCCGCCGGAGGAAGGCCGAGUAUCCCCGCCGGCGGAGGAGCAGCCCGAGCGCCAGGCCUCUGGACGCCCCGGGGCAGCCGUCGCAGGCCAGCAAGCCCCCGUCUCCGGCUCAGGGCAAGAGGAGUCCGCGGCUCGGAUGUGUAGACAAAGUAGCAACUGAUAAAGAUCCCAAGGAAGAGAAGGAGGAAGAACCCAACUCUGCCCUCUCUCAGGAAGUUCCCGCUGUUGCGACCCGACCUGCCCGGGGCUGGCGCAGUAGCAGCAGGACCUCUGUCUCUCGCCAUCGCGACGCAGAGAAUACUCGAAGCUCCAGGUCCAAGACCGGUUCAUUACAGCUCAUCUGCAAGUCAGAACCAAAUACAGAUCAGCUGGAUUAUGAAGUUGCAGAAGAACAUCAGUCUCCAGGUGGCAUUAGUAGUGAUGAGGAAGAGGAGGAGGAAGAGAUGUUAAUCAGUGAAGAGGAAAUACCUUUUAAAGAUGACCCACGAGAUGAGACCUACAAACCCCACUUAGAAAGGGAAACUCCAAAGCCACGGAGAAAAUCAGCGAAGGUCAAAGAAGAGAAGGAGAAGAAGGAAAUCAAAGUGGAAGUGGAGGUGGAGGUGAAAGAAGAGGAGAGUGAGCUGAGAGAAGACGAGGAGCCUCCUAGGAAGAGGGGAAGAAGACGAAAAGAUGAUAAAAGUCCACGUUUACCCAAAAGAAGGAAAAAACCUCCAAUUCAGUAUGUCCGUUGUGAGAUGGAAGGAUGUGGAACUGUUCUUGCUCACCCUCGUUACUUGCAGCACCAUAUUAAGUACCAGCAUUUGCUGAAGAAGAAGUAUGUAUGUCCCCAUCCCUCCUGUGGACGACUUUUCAGGCUCCAGAAGCAACUUCUGCGACAUGCCAAGCAUCACACAGAUCAAAGAGAUUAUAUCUGUGAAUAUUGUGCUCGGGCCUUUAAGAGCUCCCACAACCUGGCAGUACACAGGAUGAUUCACACUGGCGAGAAGCCAUUACAAUGUGAGAUCUGUGGAUUUACUUGUCGACAAAAGGCGUCCCUUAAUUGGCACAUGAAGAAGCAUGAUGCAGACUCCUUCUACCAGUUUUCUUGCAAUAUCUGUGGCAAAAAAUUUGAGAAGAAGGACAGCGUGGUGGCUCACAAAGCAAAAAGCCAUCCUGAGGUGCUGAUCGCAGAAGCUCUUGCUGCCAAUGCAGGCGCCCUCAUCACCAGCACAGAUAUCUUGGGCACUAACCCAGAGUCCCUGACACAACCUGCGGACGGGCAGAGUCUUCCUCUUCUUCCUGAGCCUUUGGGAAACUCAACCUCUGGAGAGUGCCUGCUGCUAGAAGCUGAGGGGGUGUCAAAGUCAUACUGCAGUGGUGCAGAACGGGUGAGCCUGAUGGCUGAUGGGAAGAUCUUUGUGGGAAGCGGGAGCAGUGGGGGCACUGAAGGGCUGGUCAUGAACUCGGAUAUACUCGGUGCUACCACGGAGGUUCUCAUUGAAGAUUCAGACUCUACUGGACCUUAGUGGGAAAGAAGACUUUGGGCACUGGAACAGCUCAGACUUUGUAUUUAAAAUAUAAAAGGACAAAAAAAAUGUAAAGCAUUUAAAAUCUAGUAAAAUAACUGAAGGGCCUGCUUUUUCCAUUGUGGAUCAUAGCACAUACACACCCAUCCCCUGUCCUCCUUCUGUUGCCCCCCUUAUAAACACUGAUGUUGCCUUUACCAGCAAGGUAGACAAAAAUACAGCAGCAGCUCUUACGUGAGGGUUAUCCUCAUAGUUCCGGCCAGUGCAGAUUUCCUGGUCACUGGCACACCCCUUAUUCCGACCUAUAACUGAUGUGCUCUGGAUCAGCUUUUAACUUAAUAGUACAUUACUGUCUUAUAAAUCCCUUCUCCUCUAUUGCUGCCCUAUGGUUCUGGCUUCUACCCACUGCAGCACACUUACCCUCAAAUAUAUAAUUCUAAUCUCUGGAGGCUGGCAGCUUGACUUGGCACUUUAGGACCCCUUAGUAGGGUAAGCUGUUAACACAGCACACAUCUCUCGCCCUCUCUUCCUCCAUUCCCAACUUGGUUUUGGAAAGGAAGGAUAUGCGGGGACCACCUCCCUUCUCUGAUCCCAGCACCUCAGUCCCCCUUUCACACCUCCACAUGGCUCUUAAUGGUGCUCACUUGCUUGGAAGCAGGCUCCAGGGGGAGGGGCUGCCCUCAGCACAGUCCCUUUGUAAGACAGAGCUCUGUAUCAGUGAGACAGAAAAGUCCCAGGCUAAUGGCAGAAAUUUGCACUUUGAACAUGUGUGUUUUUGUGUUGUGGAACCUGAGAUUCCUUAUUUAUUAAUGGAAAGUCUGAUUUUUGGGGGGUGGGUGGGGGAGGGUCUUUGUUGCUAUAUUUUGUGGGGCUGUGAGAGAUUAGAUUAUUCUGACAUGGGACCCUUUCCACAUGAGGUACUUUGAAGGCAAGGCAUAGGGUUAAAGAAGCACAGCCAGCCUCUCAAAUCAUAGCUUUCCAGUGGCCUUUAAAGAAAGCUGGUCCUCAGCACUAACAGAUUCACUACAAUAGCCUACUGUUCCUUUGUCAGCCUUCUUAGGGAAGGAUGUUACUAGGUUUGUGGUAACUAGUGUGCUCUUGGAAAUUUGUAGAGCGUUGAGAUUUAGUUAUUUUAAGGGGAUGUCAGAGGGUGUUCAGGGUCUGAAUUACAGAUAACAGAUUAUUCUUGUAAAUUCUACUUUUUUUUUUUGUUCCCACCAUUUCUUUAUGUAUACCUCCCUGUUGGUGCAACUUGGCCUCUUGCUUUCUGUUUUGUUUUUUGCUUUGCCUUAUCAUUGGUUCAUUCCGGUUCCCUGUUAGUGAAGAAUAUUGCCAUUAGUGAAGGAACAAAGUCUACCAGUCCUAAAGUUUUUAAGUCUAAGAAAGCUGCUCUGUUUCCUUUAGUAAUGCUUCAGAAGAGAGACACUUUAAUGGACAAGUUGGUUAUCUUUGUAAUAAAGGCUUUGGCUUUCACCUGAAAUUCUGGGGAUUGCCACUUCCCUUGAUAGAGUGAUUUCCACGGGUAUGUAAAAGUUCCUAACACCGCAAGACCAAAAAUGUAUUUGGGCUCAUUUUUAGAGAACAAGAGGAUGACUCCUAUUCUGUAGAGCUUAGGAGUUGAAGACUUGCCCUGUUCGUUGUUCAUUGUUAAGAGUGUAUGAUGGCUGUUGGAAAGAAUGAAGAUUUGCUGAGAACAAAAACUAUCAUUGCCUACAGUAAAUUAUUGUAGCGCCUUGCAAUAGAAUUUUAAAAAUAUUCUUAGGAACUAUUCAUUUUGCUUUUGAGAAAGGGGUGCUAGGAUGGUGAGUUUGUGUAAGUAAACUAGGUUCUCUUCCCAUCUCCUGUCAGUUCUCCAUGCUGCUUCAUUGUCCUUACUCAAAGGUCUUCCAGUCUUUAGAUUUUGCCUUUCCAAUUCUCAUUAGAUAAAUUACGUUACCUUCUAAGCAACCCAUAACCACUGCAUGUUAGCCAUCUUGAGUUGGCAAUCCUAAAUUCUGAUAACAGAGUUUUGGAUAUAGCUAUUAAGUAUCUCUGAGAGAUGUACUUCCUCGUCAUGAUUGCCCAGGGUUCUUUUGCCAUAAUUAGACUCCUUCAUGUGCUUCAAGGUGUUCGGAUAAACACUGGUUUGGGAAUCCUGGGAGUGCAAAAAGGAAGCUAUGGAGAAGCACUCACACAGAGCACUUGAGCCUCUUGUUGUCUGGAGGAAAAAAUGCAAACAUACUACUAACCUAAAUAAGGUGAUUACGGUCUCCUUGUUUGAAGUACCUUUUUUUCCCCCCUGUUUGUUUUUCCCACUUUCAAAUGUACUCAAAAACUUUAUAAAUUGUAAUGAAUCGAUUUACAUUUUUAUUUCCUAAAAGCCUUUUACCUGUUGUAAUGUGCAGGACCCUUCUCCUUUGCUGGGAGAGACAGGUAGUUACCUGAAUCUAGGUUGAAAAGGUUAUGUAAAAAAGAAAUUAUAAUAAAAGGGAUUACUCUGCUUUUCAAAUCCUUGUUUUUCUCUUGAUCUAGGUAAGACAUAUUCAAAAUAAGUAUGUGAAGUAGAACAAUAAAGGUCUUCCGGGAGAAGCUCGUCUUCCUUGGUUGUACUGAAUUACAGUUCUCCAAGGGCUGAAACUGUGAAUGAAAACACCAAGUGCCUUCCGAGCAGGUUUUGCUAUGUUGUUCUGAAAAUCAUAAUAAUUAUUUCUAGAGCAAAAAUCCCAUGAUUCUAUUAUCAUCCAAGAAACUUGGAAACUUACACUCCAGUUCUUUCUAGGAAAGUAGUCAUUGUUUUGACCUAACAGAGGAGAGCUUAGAAGAUGCAGUGACGUUGGUUUCAUUCAGAAAAUGACAGAACCUUGAUAGUGAAUAAUAGUGUUUGUGCACAGAAUGCAGUGCUCAUCAUCAAAUGCUACCUUUGAGAAAAAGGGAAAAAAAACUGCACUCUCUGUACCUUCCUUCCAGGUUUUAUUUCUUUUCCGCAUAUGUGCCUCAUUUUUAUUGACCUAUGUAAAUUUGCUCCUUUCAAUAGAAUGCAUUUCAGUUUACUGACUGUGAUAUAAAAUGGUCAAAGUCAAUUAAUGUGGGGAUGAAACUUGGCAACUCUUAACCAGUUAACAUCUUACGGUGGAAUGACUUCAUUCCUUUUCUACAAUUUCGUUGAGCAUGUGAUACGAUUUGCUUAGGAAAUAAAGAGGAAGGCAUGUUUUCACUUGAGCCAGAAUACUUUAGAAAUAUUACCAAGUUAGGUUGGGAAUUUCCUGUCCUUUGGGGAACAGGACUAAGCAAUACUUUUCUUAUCCUGUAGCUACAAGGAAGAAAGCUUGAAAUCAGAAGUGUUGAAAUUGGAGAUGCUGCCUUGGUUGGUUUUUAGUCAAAUCCAAGAAAAUACCAAAAAAUGGAAGUUUUAAGAUGCUGUUUAAAGAGACUAUUUAAUGUAACCCUUUAUUUCUUCAAGAAGAUGCAAAUUCCCCAAAAAAAGUGAGAAAAUGUAGGAAAAACAACUGUUGAAUCCAAAACCUCUACGUGUGAGCAAGUGAUUGUUUAUGUGAUUGUUUCCUUAAGUUUCAGUUUCUUAAAAUAAUGAGAAAAAUAUUUAUCCUGGAAUUAGUUGAAAAAUCAGAUGGAAAUACUUUAAAGCUUUUAACAGGAUGUCUUACCCAGGAUGCUUAAUAAUUGGCAACUAUAUCAUUAGCAACAUAGUAUUACUGAAAACUUGUCAGAAAAUUUUGAAAAAUAAAAAAUUCAUGAAAAUA